GCGUGAGUUCAUUGUAACUUCCUUUCCAUCGUUGCGAAUACUUCUUUAAAAAUGUCAGCUUAGAUUUUUGGAAAAAUGGAUCCAACCAAGUUUGAAAGUGAGAGUUUUAAAAAAAUAUGGAAGUUCUUACAGGCCUAAACUCUCCCGAACGGACGCCGUACGUAGAAAACGACAGAUCGCCGUGAAGCAACCUCAAUCGGAUGAAGCAUAGCCACACUGGGGUCGACACCAAAGACAGGCAGCACCCUUGAAAUUUCCUAGUUCCGUGUCAUGUCUCACUCUGGUAUAUUAAAUCUGGCUUUGUAUUAAGUGAAGAUAAGUGCAUUCGUAAAUGCAUUACUACUAUGAAAUAAAAACAAACUCAACAAAAAAUUUUUGGAGCAUUCAAAUGUUUGCAAAGCAUUGAAAAAGAUCCAAAAGCAAAGAAAGCUGAGCAGAUCAAGAUUCAGAAUUAGAUUUUUGGAAGUACUGAAUAAAGAUAAAGCUGGCCCCAAAACCUGUUGACCAUCAACAAAUGCAAUUUUUUUCUCCAACAUCAACAGACCAUCGAAUGCUGCAAUUGUCUAUUUUUAUGUGUAAAAGUUACAUUACCAUUUAGCUGUUGAAGUUAAAAAUGACUAAAUGCUGAAAAAGAAGACGUGGAAGAAAAAUAUGGCCCAGAUUAAGUAUUCAGUUUUGAUUGAAACAAGUCAAUCAAAAAAGAGAAAAAGAUGAGUAAAAAUAAAAGCUGAAUUUUAUCAGAAUUACAUGCAACAUAUAUAUGUUUUGAGUCAAUAAAAAGAGUU